UGGCUCAGAACGAACGCUGGCGGCAAGCCUAACACAUGCAAGUCGAACGGACAAUUAUUUAUAGCUUUUGGCUAUAGGCAAUUGUUAGUGGCAGACGGGUGAGUAAUGCGUAGGAAUCUACCUAGUAGUACGGAAUAGCCAUUAGAAAUGAUGGGUAAUACUGUAUAAUCCCCGCGGGGGAAAGAUUUAUCGCUAUUAGAUGAGCCUACGUUAGAUUAGCUAGUUGGUAAGGUAAUGGCUUACCAAGGCUAUGAUCUAUAGCUGGUCUGAGAGGACGAUCAGCCACACUGGAACUGAGAUACGGUCCAGACUCCUACGGGAGGCAGCAGUGGGGAAUAUUGGACAAUGGGCGAAAGCCUGAUCCAGCUAUGCCGCGUGAGUGAAGAAGGCCUUCGGGUUGUAAAACUCUUUCAAUAGGGAAGAUAAUGACGGUACCUAU
rnacentral:rRNA from 1 species